rnacentral:lncRNA from 1 species
AAUACGUCCAUCUCAUAUAUUAGUUUCCCCUUUUACGUUGCAUUACUGAAAUAAAUGAACUUUUGCAGAAUAUUCUAAUUUUUCAAGUAUCACCUGUACCUGUCCCUUGCUCUCUCCUAAAGGGCAACAUGCUAUUCUCUCCGCCAGCUCUGCUUCACUCCACCUUGUUUGCUACCUCCUGUCCUGUUGUGUUUUAUGCUCCACCUCCUAUAGACUAAGCUCGGUUGAGCAGGACCCUCUUCAACCUGUUGUUCCUGUAAGUUUUUGUAAUUGUCUCAUUUAUGGUUAUAUCUCCCCCUUGGAUAAUAUUGUGAAGCGCUACAUAAAUACCAGUAAUAAUAAUUCUACCUGUAAAAAACUUUUUACAGUAUUUGAUAAAUAAUGUUGGAUUUUAUCCUCUUCCACUGACUGGAGUCACCUUGUGACUUCCCUGUCCAAGUUUGUGUAGGACUGUUGAAAAUGUACCUAUGGAAAUAAUUGUGUAUAGUAAUGAUUUGCUAUAGUGGAUAUAGAGGGGCUCUAUUUUGAAGACAAGAGGAGAAGCAGGUGGCAGGAGGAAUGACAGAAUAAGGGAUUGUUUACCUCCCUGUGGAGGAGAUUUUAUCCUGUCCCCAUAGAAAGGAUGGAAGGUGACUUUUUUUUUUCCAUUCAGUAUUCAAAAACAAAACACCUCACCCCCAAAACCAGUGGCUACCCCCAUAUAGGAUGCAGAAGAGUAGCUAGGGCAGGUUAAGGCAGACUUUGGCACUCCAGAGUUGUCGACUUCCAUUUGCUUUGCCAGCAUUUUGGCUGUAAGAGCAUUCUGGGAUAUGAAGUCCACACUGUCUGGAGUGUCGAAGCUUGCCUAGCCUGAGCUAGAACAGGGGUAGGUAGCCUCCAGCACUCCAAAUGUUAUGGACUACAUCCCCCAUAAUGCUGGAAAAGCAUCAGGGGAAGUGUAAUCCAAAAUAUCUGGAGUGCCGAAGGUUACCUAUUGUCAUGAUCUUGUGCAAGUCAGGGAUGAGACUUAAACUGGGGUUAAUUGCAGGGUCUUUGAUAUCUUAGACAUACUAGUUAUUACAAUAAAUCCUAUAAUUGUAGAUAUAGGAAAUAGAAUAGAAAAUAAUCCUAUAAGGGAGAUUAUAGGUCUUAUAUACAGGGGAAAUAGGAAACAGGAUUUAGGCAAUAUGCACAAAGUUGAAAUAAGGUAACCCUAUAAAAGAAGAAGGUAUAGGAAGUAUAAUAAUAGAAGAUAAACCUAUAAGAGAGAUUAUAGAUUCUAUAUACAGGGGAAAUAGGAAAACAGGCUUUAGGCAAUAUGCCCUAGAACAGGCUACAAGAAAACUAAACAUAAAUAAAUAUAAAUACUUAAAAAGUGUUGUAGUUGUUCAGUCUCUUUGGUUAAGAGGUUAUAUAGUAGUAGUUCCUUUGCGAUGGAUGCAAAGUAGAUUGGAAUAUAAGUAAAUCCGAGGAAGGAGUAAUUAGAUAUCCACAAAGUAAAUGAAAGUCCUGUGUUGAUUUAAGUAAGCUGGAUGUUCUGCAGGGAGAUAGGGAAUCCAGUUAGGUUUGCAGAUAUGGCAUGAAGAAGAGUUAUACAGGUAAGUUUGGAGCAGGUUGGUGAGUAUUGCAGGAUAAGUGGCCAAUAAGGAUAUUCCACAGAUUAUCUCAGGUGCCAGGUUAUGAAGUCGUCUCAGGCAAUCAUCAAACUUCAAUAUCAAGGCUACUUGCUUUGUCGGGUGUGGC